ACGGCCGCGGUAUUUUGACCGUGCAAAGGUAGCAUAAUCAUUAAUUUUUUAAUUGAAAGCUGGAAUGAAUGGUUGGACAAGAAAAUUUCUGUCUCUAUCUAAUUUUUAGAAUUUUAUUUUUUAGUUAAGAAGCUUAAAUGUUUUUAAGGGACGAGAAGACCCAAUAGAAUUUUACAUAUUUGUUUGUUUUCAAUUUUUAGUGUUAUCAUUAGAAAAUAAGCUAAAUUUGUUUAGUUGGGGUGAUUGAAAAAUUUAGAAAACUCUUUUUUGAUUUAGGUCAUCGAUUUAUGAAUAAUUGAUCCGUUAGUUGUGAUUAUAAGAUUAAAUUACCUUAGGGAUAACAGC
rnacentral:rRNA from 1 species